UGCGGAGGGUGGCCUCGGUGGCUAUGGCGCUGGAAGCUGUUGCUACUAGGGUUUCUGGUUGUGAUCUUGCACUGGGCCGCUUCAUGAUUGGGUUAAGGUCUAGGUAAAUCUGGUUUAGGUUAGUUGGGCUUGGUGUAAUUGGGCAAUUCGGGUUGGUUUUUGUAAUUGGGUCGUGUAAAUGGUUUAUUUUAUUGUAUUUGGUUUUUUUUGGUUUUUUUUAUUUAUCUGGAUUUGGGUGUGCUUUGGGCCUGGUCAAAAUAGGCCUAUUACAGCUGCCCCUCUUUGCUCGUUGUCGUGUAACGAGAAUGGAGCAAAGACUUUAAAAAUGGCCUAUUUUGUCUGGCUCUAUCAAACAUUAACCUCUUAGUGCUCCUUUUCUUCAAGUAGCCUCAUUCCAUCCUACUGCAUCUUCAGAGGUAUAGAAAUUG
rnacentral:lncRNA from 1 species